AUGCCAUACUUAAGUUUUACAAGCCAUUUACCCAGAUGAAAGUCCUUUAGAUAGUGUGAUCGAACCUUCGACCCGUCCCGAUUCCCGAGCUGGCUUGUUCAAAACUAUAGUAAAUAAAGAGGAGGGAGUAAGCAUAAAUGCUUAGUAAGUUCAUAUGUAAAUAACAAGUAACAUAACAAUACAAAUAUACCAAACAACUUUAGCAUGGUAUCACCAAAACAUAUGUCAUAUUUCUAAACAUCAUUCAUCAUCUUACCACCUUAUCGUUGUUGUAUCUAUUAUCAACCCGAGGGUUAAGAACAUACCUGUCCAAAGUGUCCAUUUCACAACACUUACCAAUAAGUCGCUUGCAUCUUAAGUGUUCUUUCAUUUCACUAGAAAUUUCACCCGUUGAACACAUCGAAAUACAACUCGGAUACACGGAUAAUUUGCACAUAAGUGCCUCAUAUGUAAUCAAGAAAUCACGUAACCCGCCCCUAAGUGAACUCAGACUCAACUCAACGAGCUCGGGCGUUCGCAUCCAUAAGUGAACUCGGACUCAACUCAACGAGUUUGGAUGCCUAGUUACAUUUCACGAACUCGGACUCAACUCAACGAGUUCGGACAUUCGCAUCCAUAAGUGAACUCGGACUCAACUCAAUGAGUUUGGAUGCUCAACCAUCCUAGUGACAUGUCACUUGUAUCCUAAUCUAUUCCUAAGGUUCAAACGGGAUUUUCCUCGAACACAUAUCCUUGCCAUCUUCCGUAAAAUACCAAAACCAAUACUUAGUAGGACUUUAUAUUUAACAAUUAAUACACAUAAUUUGCAUUUUAUUCGAAAAUAACCACAAAGCAUAUAUUUCAUAAUAAAAAUCAGCAUAUCAUAUAAUUAACAUCAAUAACUUAAAAAUAACAAUUAUGCUACAUUAUUUACACAUGAACUUACCUUGGUACCAAAAUAUAAAGAUUUUGCAAUUUAGUCCACAAUAUUUUCUUUUCCUCGAUCGCGACUUGAAUCUCGUUUCUCUUGAUCUAUAAUGCCAAAUUAAUCUUAUUUAAUACAUACAUUCAUCAAAACAGCAUUUAAUACGAACUUUGGAAAAAUUACACUUUUUCCCCUAAACUUUUGCAUAAUUACACUUUUGCCCCUAGGCUCGGGAAUUAAACUUUAUUCCUUAUUCUUAUGUUUUAUAACAUGCUGAUCAUUUUGCCCUUCUAUGGCAACAUCAAAUUCUUACUCUAACAUAUACUUGUGACUAUUAGGUAUUUUUACCGAUUAAGCCCUUUUACUUGUUUUCACUCAAAACCGAGUAGCACAAGUUGUCUAACAUAAUUUAAAACCCCAUAUUCUAUCAUAAAACAUCAAAAUACACAAAUUUCACCUAUGGGUAUUUUUCCAAAUAUAAACCCUAGGUUGAAUUAUUGCUAACAUAAGCUUAAUCGAGCUACCGGGAUUCCAAAAACGUAAAGAAUAUUAAAAACGGGGCUUGAAAUCACUUACUAUGGAGCUUGGAAGCUUGAAACAAACCCUAACUAUGGAGAACCCUUGAGAUUUCGGCCUAAUGAAGAAGAUGGAUAAAAAUUGGCUUUUAAUUUUGUUUUUAAUUCAUUUUAAUAACUAAAUGACCAAAAUGCCCUUCUACUAAACUUUCCAAAAAUUCAUUCGAUGUCCUAAUUUUGUCCAUGAACUUAAAAUUGGUCAAAUUGCUAUUUAAGAUCUCCUAAUUAAUAUUUCAAUGCAAUUUCAUACUAAAAACUUCUAGAAUGCAAAUUUUGCAACUUAUUCGAUUUAGUCCCUAAUUUCAAUUUAAGCACUUUAGGCAUAGAAUUUCAUCACAAAAUUUUCACACAAUCAUGCAAUCAUAUCAUAAUCAUCAAAAUAAUUAUAAAAUAAUUAUUUCUAUCUCGGAUUUGUGGUCACGAAACCACUAUUCCGAUUAAGCCCUAAUUCAGGAUAUUACAACUCUCCUCCCCCUCCCCUUUUAAGGAUUUUCUUCCUCGAAAAUCUUACCGAUAAACAGGUGUGGGUAUUGGUUUUUCAUAGUUUCUUCAGGUUCCCAUGUAGUCUCUUCUACCCCAUGCCUUUGACACAGCUGGAUCGAGAUCCAUUUACUAUGUAAAAAUCAUUUAAAAAGGUCAGAAGUCGUCACACUAUCACAAUUCAUACAUAUGGCAUGUAUAGCAAAAUCCGUACAUACAACACGUAGUCCGAGAACUGACUAAACCUGCUCUGAUACCACUAAAUGUAACGCCCCCAUGCCCGAAACCGUUGCCGGAGUCGAGCUUGAGGAGUUACCGAACAUAAUUUAUCAAAUUAAGAACUUCAAAUAAUUUGUUUCUACAUUCACAGCUUUCUAGCUACCCGCGUCACAGUUACAAGAAAAAUCAUAUCUCGAGUUACGAAACUAAAAAUCAAAAUCCGUAAAUUUUUCCUAAAUCUAGACUCAUAUAUCUAUUUACUAAAUUGUUUCUAGAAUUUUUGGUUGGGCAAAUUAGUACAGUUUAUUAGUUAAAGUCUCCCAUGUUUCAGAGUUCGACUGCUCUGACCUCUGUGUAUUACGAAUCAGAUAUCUCUCUAUACAGAAUUUAAAUGACUAUGAGGUUUCUUUAUAUUAAAACUAGACUCAAUAAGAAAUCUGUACUUAUAAAUAAAAACUUCUAAUUAUUUUUGUAAAAUUUAUUAUGAAUUUUUAAAGUCAGAACAGGGGAUUCAGAAAUCACUCUGGCCCUGUUUCACAAAAGUUUAAAUAUCUCAUAAAAUAUAAUUUAUAUGCCUGUUUUGUUCAAUUCAAUUUCAUAACUUACUCAUCAUAUUUCCAUUUAUACUAUUUUUAGUGAUUUUUCAAAUUCAUGUCAUUGCUGCAGCAAUAUUCUGUUUUAAGGCAAAUUUCAUCUUUUCAUGAGUUGUUAUGAACUAGAUAACCUAUUAAACUUCCAUGAUAUCAAACAUGAUCUAAAUUUAACCAUCACCAUGACUUAUCAAUAUCAAACAUUUUCUCAACCAAUCAUGGCCAUAUCAUAAAAUUAUUUACACAAAAUAAGUAUAUUGCUAUAGAUGUCAUACUUAAGUUUUACAAGCCAUUUACCCAGAUGAAAGUCCUUUAGAUAGUGUGAUCGAACCUUCGACCCGUCCCGAUUCCCGAGCUGGCUUGUUCAAAACUAUAGUAAAUAAAGAGGAGGGAGUAAGCAUAAAUGCUUAGUAAGUUCAUAUGUAAAUAACAAGUAACAUAACAAUACAAAUAUACCAAACAACUUUAGCAUGGUAUCACCAAAACAUAUGUCAUAUUUCUAAACAUCAUUCAUCAUCUUACCACCUUAUCGUUGUUGUAUCUAUUAUCAACCCGAGGGUUAAGAACAUACCUGUCCAAAGUGUCCAUUUCACAACACUUACCAAUACGUCGCUUGCAUCUUAAGUGUUCUUUCAUUUCACUAGGAAUUUCACCCGUUGAACACAUCGGAAUACAGCUCGGAUACACGGAUAAUUUGCACAUAAGUGCCUCAUGUGUAAUCAAGAAAUCACAUAACCCGCCCCUAAGUGAACUCGGACUCAACUCAACGAGCUCGGGUGUUCGCAUCCAUAAGUGAACUCGGACUCAACUCAACGAGUUCGGAUGCCUAGUUACAUUUCACGAACUCGGACUCAACUCAACGAGUUCGGACAUUCGCAUCCAUAAGUGAACUCGGACUCAACUCAACGAGUUCGGAUGCUCAACCAUCCUAGUGACAUGUCACUUGUAUCCUAAUCUAUUCCUAAGGUUCAAACGGGAUUUUCCUCGAACACAUAUCCUUUCCAUCUUCCGUAAAAUACCAAAACCAAUACUCGGUAGGACUUUAUAUUUAACAAUUAAUACACAUAAUUUGCAUUUUAUUCGAAAAUAACCACAAAGCAUAUAUUUCAUAAUAAAAAUCAGCAUAUCAUAUAAUUAACAUCAAUAACUUAAAAAUAACAAUUAUGCUACAUUAUUUACACAUGAACUUACCUUGGUACCAAAAUAUAAAGAUUUAGCAAUUUAGUCCACAAUAUUUUCUUUUCCUCGAUCGCGACUUGAAUCUCGUUUCUCUUGAUCUAUAAUGCCAAAUUAAUCUUAUUUAAUACAUACAUUCAUCAAAACAGCAUUUAAUACGAACUUUGGAAAAAUUACACUUUUUCCCCUAAACUUUUGCAUAAUUACACUUUUGCCCCUAGGCUCAGGAAUUAAACUUUAUUCCUUAUUCUUAUGUUUUAUAACAUGCUGAUCAUUUUUCCCUUCUAUGGCAACAUCAAAUUCUUACUCUAACAUAUACUUGUGACUAUUAGGUAUUUUUACCGAUUAAGCCCUUUUACUUGUUUUCACUCAAAACCGAGUAGCACAAGUUGUCUAACAUAAUUUAAAACCCCAUAUUCUAUCAUAAAACAUCAAAAUACACAAAUUUCACCUAUGGGUAUUUUUCCAAAUAUAAACCCUAGGUUGAAUUAUUGCUAACAUAAGCUUAAUCAAGCUACCGGGAUUCCAAAAACGUAAAGAAUAUUAAAAACGGGGCUUGAAAUCACUUACUAUGGAGCUUGGAAGCUUGAAACAAACCCUAACUAUGGAGAACCCUUGAAAUUUCGGCCUAAUGAAGAAUAUGGAUAAAAAUUGGCUUUUAAUUUUGUUUUUAAUUCAUUUUAAUAACUAAAUGACCAAAAUGCCCUUACUACUAAACUUUCCAAAAAUUCCUUCCAUGUCCUAAUUUUGUCCAUGAACUUAAAAUUGGUCAAAUUGCUAUUUAAGAUCUCUUAGUUAAUAUUUCAAUGCAAUUUCAUACUAAGAACUUCUAGAAUGCAAAUUUUGCAACUUAUUCGUUUUAGUCCCUAAUUUCAAUUUAAGCACUUUAGGCAUAGAAUUUCAUCACGAAAUUUUCACACAAUCAUGAAAUCAUAUCAUAAUCAUCAAAAUAAUUAUAAAAUAAUUAUUUCUAUCCCGAAUUUGUGGUCACGAAACCACUAUUCCGAUUAAGCCCUAAUUCAGGAUAUUACAGGUGCACCCGUGAGGGAUCCCGCC
rnacentral:lncRNA from 1 species